rnacentral:rRNA from 1 species
UACGUAGGGUGCAAGCGUUGUCCGGAAUUAUUGGGCGUAAAGAGCGUGUAGGCGGCUUGACAGGUCUGCUGUGAAAACUCGAGGCUCAACCUCGAGAUGUCGGCGGAAACCGUCUGGCUAGAGUCCGGAAGAGGAGAGUGGAAUUCCUGGUGUAGCGGUGAAAUGCGCAGAUAUCAGGAAGAACACCUAUGGCGAAGGCAGCUCUCUGGGACGGUACUGACGCUGAGACGCGAAAGCGUGGGGAGCGAACAGG